AUUGAACGCUGGCGGCAGGCCUAACACAUGCAAGUCGAGCGGGGUUUUCGGACCUAGCGGCGGUCGGGUGAGUAAUGCGUAGGAAGCUACCCGAUAGAGGGGGAUACCAGUUGGAAACGACUGUUAAUACCGCAUAAUGUCUACGGACCAAAGUGUGGGACCUUCCGGCCACAUGCUAUCGGAUGCGCCUACGUGGGAUUAGCUAGUUGGUGGGGUAAUGGCUUACCAAGGCGACGAUCCCUAGCUGGUUUGAGAGGAUGAUCAGCCACACUGGAGUUGUGAAACGGCCAAGAGCCGUCCGGGAGGCAGCAGUGGGGAAUAUUGAACAAUGGGCGCAAGUCUGCUCCAGCCAUGCCGGGUGUGUGAAGAGGGCCUUCGGGUUGUAAAGCACUUUCAGUAGGGGGGAAGGGUGUUGUGUUAAUAGCACAGCAUUUUGACGUUACCUACAGAAGAAGCACCGGCUAACUCUGUGCCAGCCGCCGCCGUAACAC
rnacentral:rRNA from 1 species